ensembl:lncRNA
GAAGGCCCGGCGGAGGGAGAGAUGAGCGGUGGCAGAAGUGACAGACUGCAAGUAUGAGAUGGCAGAAAGGGAGAGCGAGAGAAAGCGAGGGAACAAAGAGCAUAUUGUCAGUGCUGGGCGCUAAUCGGCCCCUCUUAGGCUGCCAGAGACAACAGCUGCCUCUCUGUCACCUGGGGGCAGAUUUUUACAGGUCGUGGAGCCAUAAACGUGACAUCACCCCAAAACAGUGCCGACGCCAGGCUGCUGUCACCAGAGUGGACGCUCUCCAGCCCUCCGCCACGUACUGACAUCAUUUGCAUAAAGAAGGAAAGCGUGGAGCAGCGGAGGAACAUCAGAAAGCUCUGGAUCGGGUUUCAGGAUGCUGUGACUUUUUGAACUUUGAGCCGUUUCCCUGGGAUUUUCUUUUUGGGGGGGGAAGGACUUUAUGCCCAGUGACAGGUGACUGGAGGCCGUGGACGUGGAGGCCGUGGACGUGGUUAAACUAAAAGUCAACAAGUAGAGUUGCUGUUCAAGAAGUUGGGUGCAGUCACAACGCGUACGCUGCGGUGGAAUAAUGAAUCGGAAAAAAAGACGUUGGUUCGAAAAAAUGAAAUAAAAG